rnacentral:misc_RNA from 1 species
AACGCAUAUUGCGCCCUUUGGUAUUCCGAAGGGCAUGCCUGUUCGAGCGUCAUUAUCACCCCUCAAGCCUGGCUUGCUGUUGGACUUCGUCCCCGCUCACCCGGGGGCCGGUCCCAAAGAUAAUGACGGCGUCUGUGAGGACUCGAGUACACUGAGCUUUCGGGCACGUACUUGGUUAGGACUCCAGGCCCGGUCUCUUUAUAACUUUAUCAAGGUUGACCUCGGAUCAGGUAGGAAUACCCGCUGAACUUAA